rnacentral:rRNA from 1 species
UACGUAGGUGGCAAGCGUUGUUCGGAUUUACUGGGCGUAAAGGGUGCGUAGGCGGACAUUUAAGUCAGAUGUGAAAUACCCGAGCUUAACUUGGGUGCUGCAUUUGAAACUGGGUGUCUAGAGUGCAGGAGAGGUAAGUGGAAUUCCUAGUGUAGCGGUGAAAUGCGUAGAGAUUAGGAAGAACACCAGUGGCGAAGGCGACUUACUGGACUGUAACUGACGCUGAGGCAUGAAAGCGUGGGGAGCAAACAGG